rnacentral:rRNA from 1 species
UGAGGAAUAUUGGUCAAUGGGCGUAAGCCUGAACCAGCCAAGUAGCGUGCAGGAUGACGGCCCUAUGGGUUGUAAACUGCUUUUAUGCGGGGAUAAAGUGGCCCACGUGUGGGCUUUUGCAGGUACCGCAUGAAUAAGGACCGGCUAAUUCCGUGCCAGCAGCCGCGGUAAUACGGAAGGUCCGGGCGUUAUCCGGAUUUAUUGGGUUUAAAGGGAGCGUAGGCCGCGCCUUAAGCGUGUUGUGAAAUCCGGGUGCUCAACAUCCGGCUUGCAGCGCGAACUGGGGCGCUUGAGUGCGCUGAAAGUAGGCGGAAUUCGUGGUGUAGCGGUGAAAUGCUUAGAUAUCACGAGGAACUCCGAUUGCGAAGGCAGCCUACUGUAGCGUUACUGACGCUGAUGCUCGAAAGCGUGGGUAUCGAACAGG